AAUGAUUUCACGAUAGUGGGAGCGAGUACGAGGCUCGGAGGAAUUGUGGAAUUAGUUCGAACGAUUAAUUUUCGAAAAAACGAACGUUAUUUAGGGGGUCUCAAAAAGUGACUUUUUAUACAUUGGGAAUUUGGGAAAACUUCCUUCAUGAAAGUUGUAGAGGACAUUAAACCGAGUGCGUGCAUAUGUGGUACGUAAAAAUCGGAGUUCGUAUGCGAAAGUUAUAAGCAAAAUAUGAAAGUUACUGUUUAUGGUAGAUUGGUAUAAAUUUGAAAUGUUACUGUAGCCAGGUAACUUUUCUUUCUUUUCUCUCUCCUUCCCCCGUGCUCUCUCAGUCUCUCUCUUCUGCAACUCUCUCUUUCUCUCUUCUGCAACCUCCUCUUUCACCACCUCUAGACCACCAAAUGGCGAGCUGCGAGCAUCGAUAGACUCGUCUCUUCCUCCUUAUCACGCAUGUGGGAGUUGUUUACGACGAUUUGGCCGGAAAUGUGGAGAUCGAAGCCAACAUUUUUACUGUAGCAAAUUAGUCAACGCCGAUUUCCGGCCACCUCCAGUCAUAAACCCAGGUCCAUUAGAAGCGCCUUAAGCCGCUCUUCAUGCUCGCCAAGUCUCAUAACCCAGAUCGAAGCAUGGAGGAAGAAAGCAUAAUUGGAAAAUUUCACUGUACAUCGGAGUGCUUAAUUGUUCGGCUACUUCAAGGUGAUUGACGGUUUGAGUUGGUGGACGAUUGUGGAUCGUAUUUUGAGCUGAAUUGAAGACGCAGCGGGAUUAUCGAGCGGGUAAUCCUACAGGACAGGAGAACCAGGACGGUGAUCGCGCGGUUAGAGCAAUUGUUAGAGUUUUACAACAAUUGUAAGUUGUGAGGUGUGUUAUGCUCAUUUGAGCUUUAUAAUAUAUUGUGAGAGUGAAUUGUAAUAAUGAACUCGAAGUUUCGAGAUUUGGAUUUUGUAAUUGUAAUUAUUCAGGUUUCGGAUUUGAAUUUAUCAUUCAAAAUCCGGGGCGUG